CAAUGUACUAAAUUUGCAUUUCCUGUAGAACUUCUUUAGAAAAACUAAACUUUCUUAUUGAAAUAGCUCUCUUUUAUUAGCAAAUUUAUUUUACCUUAUACUAGUCAUUUAUUAUUUAUCACAGGAUUAGCAAUAAGCACUGCCAUUUUGCUACGUAACUUUAAGUACUUGAUUUUAAAAGAAAAUUUAAGUAUAGUUUACAUUCAAUAAAAUUCACCAGCCUUAAAUUUAUAAUUUGCUGAGUUUUGACAGGUGUAACCAUUAUCUCAAUCAUGACCUAAGACACUCUUACCAUCCCCUGAAGUUCUUUUGUCCUUCUGUGCCAUCAGUCCACUCCACUGAUAGCUGGCGGCCCCUGGUCUGCUUUAAGUUAUUAGUUUUGCCUUUUCUGAAUUUCAUAUAAUUGUAUUCCCCUUAUGCAUAUAAUGUAUUGUUUAUAGUUGUUCCACUGUCCUUGGAUAUUUUGUUCUUUUUCUUUUUUCUCUUUGGCUUUCAGUUUUAGAAACUUAUAUUGAUCUUUAAGCUCACUGAUUUUUUUUUCUUCCUCAGCUGUGUCCUGUCAACUGAUGAGCCCAUCAAAGGCAUUCAUUUCUGUUAAUGUUUUUGAUUUCUAAUAUUCCCAUUUGCUUCUUUCUCAUAGUUUCCGUCUCUCUGCUUAUAUUAGUCAUCUGUUCUUGCUUGUUUUCCACUUUUUCCAUUAGAGUACUUAGUAUGUUAAUCAUAAUUAAAAUCCCACAGUUGGUUUUUUACUUUUAAGAGUUUCCUUCUGUGGAGAGAAUAUUAUGUUUAAAUUGUGGAGAUUAUAUGAUGAUAUGUAGGAGAAUAUUAAUGCAUUUAUAAUGUAAAAACUUACACAUUUUAGCGGUGUCUGUGUGGCUCAGUUGGUUAAAUAUCUGCCUUUGCUCAGGUCAGAUCUCAGGGUCCUGGGAUUGAGUCCCAUGUCAGGCUCCCUGCUCAGCAGGGAGUCUGCUUCUCCCUCUCCCUCUGCCCUUCCAUCCCUGCUGGUUCCCUUUCUCUCAAACAAACAAACACACAAACAAAUAAAUAUUUUUAAAAAAUAAAAC
rnacentral:lncRNA from 1 species